GAUGAACGCUGGCGGCGUGCCUAACACAUGCAAGUCGAACGAGGCAAAUAAGUUGAAGUUUUCGGAUGGAUUCUUAUUUACCGAGUGGCGGACGGGUGAGUAACGCGUGGGUAACCUGCCUCAUACAGGGGGAUAACGGUUAGAAAUGACUGCUAAUACCGCAUAAGCGCACAGUACCGCAUGGUACGGUGUGAAAAACUCCGGUGGUAUGAGAUGGACCCGCGUCUGAUUAGCUAGUUGGCGAGGUAACGGCCCACCAAGGCGACGAUCAGUAGCCGACCUGAGAGGGUGACCGGCCACAUUGGGACUGAGACACGGCCCAGACUCCUACGGGAGGCAGCAGUGGGGGAUAUUGCACAAUGGAGGAAACUCUGAUGCAGCGACGCCGCGUGAGUGAAGAAGUAUUUCGGUAUGUAAAGCUCUAUCAGCAGGGAAGAAAAUGACGGUACCUGACUAAGAAGCCCCGGCUAACUACGUGCCAGCAGCCGCGGUAAUACGUAGGGGGCAAGCGUUAUCCGGAUUUACUGGGUGUAAAGGGAGCGUAGACGGCGACGCAAGUCUGAAGUGAAAUACCCGGGCUCAACCUGGGAACUGCUUUGGAAACUGUGUUGCUAGAGUGCCGGAGAGGUAAGCGGAAUUCCUAGUGUAGCGGUGAAAUGCGUAGAUAUUAGGAAGAACACCAGUGGCGAAGGCGGCUUACUGGACAGUAACUGACGUUGAGGCUCGAAAGCGUGNGGAGCAAACAGG
rnacentral:rRNA from 1 species